GCGGGCGGCCUCAGGGGAAUCCCGAAACGCCCCCGACUGGGGAAACUUCUCCGCAGACUUUUGAGGCUUUCCGGACACAGGAGGGCCCCAAGUGGCGGCCUUCACCCAGUGUGUUCUUCUAGGAGCGGGCAGGGCCCUCGGGCAUCUCAGGAGCUGAAUGUCCCAGGGCAAAUGCCAGGGCCAACCCACAAUUCCAGAAUUCAGUGAAAACUGCACCUAGUCUGAGUCCCUUCCGACUUCCAACUAACAACUGCCCAACUCCAAUUGUGUCUGGAUGGCAAUGGCCUAAGCAAUAAGAAAUGAGUCUCUUCACCAGCUAUUGAGAGGUAGAAGAAA